rnacentral:rRNA from 1 species
CCUACGGGUGGCUGCAGUGGGGAAUAUUGCACAAUGGGGGAAACCCUGAUGCAGCAACGCCGCGUGAGUGAAGAAGUAUUUCGGUAUGUAAAGCUCUAUCAGCAGGGAAGAAGAAAGACGGUACCUGACUAAGAAGCCACGGCUAACUACGUGCCAGCAGCCGCGGUAAUACGUAGGGGGCAAGCGUUAUCCGGAUUUACUGGGUGUAAAGGGAGCGUAGACGGCUGUGCAAGUCUGAAGUGAAAGCCCGUGGCUCAACCGCGGAACUGCUUUGGAAACUGUAUAGCUAGAGUACUGGAGAGGCAGGCGGAAUGCCUGGUGUAGCGGUGAAAUGCGUAGAGAUUAGACAGAACACCAAUGGCGAAGGCAGCCUGCUGGGCAAAAUCUGACGUUGAGGCUCGAAAGCGUGGGGAGCAAACAGGAUUAGAUACCCGGGUAGUC